AGAGUUUGAUCCUGGCUCAGGAUGAACGCUGGCGGCGUGCCUAACACAUGCAAGUCGAACGUUAGGAGAUAGCAAUAUCUCUGAAAGUGGCGAACGGGUGAGUAACACGUAGGUAACCUGCCGCGCAGAGGGGGAUAACGACUAGAAAUGGUCGCUAAUACCGCAUGGUACUACCCAAACGGGAGUUCGGGUGGUUAAAACUUUGGUGCUGCGCGAGGGGUCUGCGUCCGAUUAGUUAGUUGGUGAGGUAAUGGCUCACCAAGACGAUGAUCGGUAGCUGGUCUGAGAGGAUGAUCAGUCACACGGGAACUGAGACACGGUCCCGACUCCUACGGGGGGCAGCAGUGAGGAAUAUUGCACAAUGGACGCAAGUCUGAUGCAGCAACGCCGCGUGGAGGAUGAAGGCCCUUGGGUCGUAAACUCCUUUUUUCAGGGAAGAGUGAGGACGGUACCUGAAGAAUAAGUCACGGCUAACUACGUG
rnacentral:rRNA from 1 species